UCUACGGGUGGCAGCAGUGGGGAAUAUUGCACAAUGGGGGGAACCCUGAUGCCGCGACGCCGCGUGAGUGAAGAAGUAUUUCGGUAUGUAAAGCUCUGUCAGCAGGGAAGAAGAAAGACGGUACCUGACCACGAAGCCCCGGCGAACUACGUGCCAGCAUCAGCGGUAAUACGUAGGGCGCAAGCGUUAUCCGGAUUUACUGGGUGUAAAGGGAGGGGAGACGGCAGGGCAAGUCUGGUGUGAAAGGCAGGGGCCGAACCCCUGAACUGCUGUGGAAACUGGCGGGGUGGAGUGCAGGAGAGGUAAGUGGAAUUCCUGGUGUAGCGGUGAAAUGCGUAGAUAUUAGGAGGAACACCAGUGGCGAAGGCGGCUUACUGGACUGUAACUGACGUUGAGGCUCGAAAGCGUGGGGAGCAAACAGGAUUAGAUACCCGGGUAGUC
rnacentral:rRNA from 1 species